UACGGAGGGUGCAAGCGUUGUUCGGAAUUAUUGGGCGUAAAGGGCAAGUAGGUGGUCUAACAAGUUUACUGUGAAAGCCCCGGGCUCAACUCGGGAAGUGCACUCGAUACUGCUUAGCUCGAGUACCGGAGAGGUUGGUGGAAUUCUCGGUGUAGAGGUGAAAUUCGUAGAUAUCGAGAGGAACACCGGUGGCGAAGGCGGCCAACUGGACGAGUACUGACGCUGAGACACGAAAGCGUGGGGAGCAAACAGG
rnacentral:rRNA from 1 species